AAAUGAAUUGACGGGGGCCCGCACAAGCGGUGGAGCAUGUGGUUUAAUUCGACGCAACGCGAAGAACCUUACCAAGGCUUGACAUCCUACUAACGAGGCAGAGAUGCGUUAGGUGCCCCUUCGGGGGAAAGUAGAGACAGGUGGUGCAUGGUUGUCGUCAGCUCGUGUCGUGAGAUGUUGGGUUAAGUCCCGCAACGAGCGCAACCCUUGCCUUCAGUAGCCAUCGCGUAGAGGCGGGUACUCUGGAGGGACUGCCGUGGAUAACACGGAGGAAGGUGGGGACGAUGUCAAAUCAUCAUGCCCUUUAUGUCUUGGGCUACACACGUGCUACAAUGGGCGUAACAGAGCGAAGCGAAGCUGCGAAGCGGAGCAAAGCGCAAAAAAGCGUCCACAGUUCGGAUUGCAGGCUGCAACCCGCCUGCAUGAAGUCGGAAUCGCUAGUAAUCGCGAAUCAGCAUGUCGCGGUGAAUACGUUCCCGGGCCUUGUACACACCGCCCGU
rnacentral:rRNA from 1 species